rnacentral:rRNA from 1 species
CAAAUCAGGUGGGACUACCCGCUGAACUUAAGCAUAUCAAUAAGCG